rnacentral:tRNA from 1 species
UGGUGGUCUAGUGGUUAAGAUGCAGCACUCUCACUGCUGAGGCUUGGGUUCCUUUCCCCAUCA